CCUAACACCGUUUCGGUAGAACGUGGAAAGCGUUUGAACGGGGAGCUUGUUAAGAUUCAUGAGAGCUGAUAAGCGCUGGUGCUAAUGAAGAUCGGCAGGCAGUUGUGAGUUUUCGCGCUGGAGGCAGUGUUCCGUGGUAUCGAGAAAUACGGUGACAAUUAAUUCUGGAGAUAUAAAUAAACCUUACCGAAGCCUGGUAAGCUCACAAACUGAUCGCUACUUGAAACAGAUUGUCAGACGACAUAGCAAAUCCCGUUGGAGAUAUUCUAUCAUAAGCAGUGACAUGUUAGGUGUGACGCUAACCACUCGACCACGGGAGCAACAAUUUUGGCUGGAUCUUUGAAUACAAAUGGCCAAUACUGCUUGUUCGCGACGAUCGCGACCCGAGCUAUUAAACGAGCGGAGAAGAGGAGAAGAAAGGAUGAUGCACAUAGCAUAUGUAG